GUCUAUGUCCCAAUCAAUAAUUCACACUGAUAUAAUCAUCUUCAGUUCACACGGUAGCAGUUUCGUACUCUUAAAAACAAUAUUGGCUCCCCUUGUGUGGGCUUUGAAAUCCUUCAUCCGCUGCAAAAAUUGACCCAGCUUUUAAUAUAAAUAUAAAUUAUUUUCCAUGGGAGAAUAUAUCGAUUGAUAUUCGAUGGAAAUUAUUUUUUGUCAUCCUUCUUCUCCUCUUUCUUCUCU
rnacentral:misc_RNA from 1 species